UAUUCUCUCUCCCUAUAAACCUUGCCUUAUAUUAAUUGAAAGUGAUGGUAUGGCAAGUUUUAUUCAAGGUUGUCUUGUCAGUGGAUUUGGGAAAGGAAAGCUUGAAGAUAUUUUCUUGCAUGUUGUUUUAUACAACAAAAUCUUGACAUAUUUGAUUGAAAUUAUUUGAAUUUAUAGUAACUGUUAAUGGUACUUUGAAAUAAGUACCAUUUGUUUGUUAAUUUGAAACCUCCCUCACGAGAUCAACAUGAUAAAACUUGGCAUGUUGUUUCUUGAUCUAUUCGAUGUACGAAGAUCUUUAUGCAAUUCUGUCCUCCUGAGCAUUUGGAGCAUUUCUGUCUAGUUGUUGGUUUAUUAACAGCAAAGGCUAAGAAAAGAGGAGUAGUGUUUGCAAGAUAGCAUCUGAGAAAGAAUUACUCUCCUAUUUGGAAAGGUGAGACAAGUCUUCCUAAUUGUCAAAAAGGCUUUUUUGUGGAACUGUUUGGCUGACAUUGGCCUGUAAUCUUGGACUUUGUAUUUUUAAAGGAUGCAAUUUUCAUCAUAUAUAUAUAUGUUUGGACGUAAUGUUAGUUGGAAAAUGCAAAAACCAUGUGAGGAAUGGCACAACUUACACUGUAGGCUAUGUUUUGAGUUAAAGCUUAAAGCUAAUCAGCACUCUCUGGGUUUACUUUGGACUGUUAAUGCAAGCCCAUCAGUGUUGUAUAGACAUUCUUCUACGUCAUUUAACUCACUGUUAGAAAUACUUGGCAAAUGUAUUGUACUGAAUUUUUAUUUUAAUGCCCUAAUGCUCCUAUAAAGCUCCAUGAAUAUUAGCUCCAAAUAAUAUUUUGUAUAUAAAACAGCUAGAAGAUAUAGAAUGUAUUUGAUCACUCAAAGAGAACAAAUACAUAGUUCCCAGAAUAACACUGCAAAUGUUAAGUGAAGCCUUUUGUAAAAAAAAAAAUAAAUGAUAAGUUUUCCGUAAAAAAACAGUGGGAAUCGAGUAUUUGCAGUGACUUGAAAUGUGAGCUUAACUAUGUUUAUGCAACUUACUCUGGAGGGUGCUUUUGUGGGGACAGAGCAGUAAACCAUUUAGCCACUUGAUGCCUGGAAUAUAAGAUGAGUCACAAAUAAAAUUCUGCUCUGAGUUCCAAGAAUACUUAAGAAAUUUUAGUAUUUCCACGAAAAUACAGAGAACUGAAAUUGUCUUUACAAUAUAGCCAUUAUGAUCUCAAGCAAUUUAUUUGUAGUACUACAACAAAUCUCUCUAAUACACAAGCAAAAUAAAUAUGUAUGAAAAAGAGUUUUAUGUUCUUACCACUGAAACAAAACCACUGACUACAUGUGUUUUUUAUUUACUUACUGUUAAAGAGCAGUUAGAAAUAGAGGUGGGCUUGGGGGCGGUGUUUGUUUUUUAGGAUUAGGUCAUGACAUUUGACAAUUGCAUUUGUUUAGAUCUGUUGUAGGAAAAUUUGUUUUUGCUGUUGUGGCUAAGAUUGCUCUAAAACUUAGAUUGUUUAUUGAUGUUUUUCCAAAAGUUUUGAAAAUAAUGUGCUUUGUUUUGCUUGUGAUUGUUGCAGAGCUUCCUUAUGUUUUGCUUGAGCUGGUCUGUGUUUUAGAAUAUAGAAAGGCAGCUUCUAAUUUCUACCGUGGUGUGCUGCGUGUCCUCCAUUGCUUUGUUUGUGUCAGAUGCCUUCUGAAAGUUAAGCAUUGCUUUCUGCCAUGACUUCAGAGUCCCAGCUCUCCUUGAGGACAGACUGAACGUGAAGGCUUCUGCAAACCCUUUCCUAUGUCAGAAAAUACUGUGCUUUUAUGAAAAAUCUGUAAUCGUUUACUUGAGAAACUACUGCCUGUCUGCAACUUGAAGUAAGGUCUCCAAGGGUACUGGAGAACGUGAUAGGUGUUUUUGAGAGCCUUUUUUUUUAAUCUGUAAAAUCAUCUUAGUGGAUAGAAAAAAACUUGUAUUUCCAGUAACUUCUGGUGUGGUAGCCAGGUAGCGUGGAGAAGGAUGCAGUGUGAUUUGCCUGCAGAGUAUAGCACAUCUAAUGCUGGUGAGCAAAAAGGGGCUGGGUUGGUACUGGGGAAUACAGGGGAGCUAUGGAAGAGCAAAGGGGCCUCAGUAUUUGAGGGAAACUGGAGAUGGGCUGGGUGUGGAAAUGAAGCAGUGGAAGGGAAUCAAAAUUUCUAGAGGAAUCCAGGUGAAAGUGUCUCAGACUCGGUUCCUAGAAAUAAGAGUAAAUAUGAGUACAGCUGAAGAAAAGGUUUGCAAAGUUAGUUGCUGGAGAAAGGACUGGAAGAAGUAAACUACAUUUGUUGCAACACUGGUGGUAGGAGAACUUAGAGGAAGGUCUGUUGUAACAAAUUCCAGAUGGAAUCGUGAGUCUUCUGCAAAUAGCAAACAUUGGGAGGAAAAAAAAAAAGAUGGAUUUUCAACACAAUACAAAGCCUCCUUGUGUCUGUUGCUGUCAGGUGGAGGUGACAUAAGACUGCUUUGUGUGCUUUUUGCACCAGCACUGGCUGGUUCUUCCUGGUUCAUUCCCAGGAUCAGUGUAGUUCAAGAAGAUAAGAUUAGAAUUGCUGUUGAUUUCAUUUCUGAUGUCCAAAACUUUAAAUGUACUGAGAAGGCAUUUCGCUUCUGGACCAAUCCAAUGGCAGGCAGUGUUCUGGUAUCUUGUGGAAUCCUUGUAUAUGGAAGUGUGUGUUUGUGUAUAUACACACAAAAUCAGAAAUUCCUUCAAAGCACUGUAGCAAUUACAUACAAUUUUUGCUGUUGUGGCUGUAUAUGUGUGUAUAUGUGUAAUUGCUACAGUGGUCUGAAGGCAUUUCUGAAACAUGGCAUAUGCUUGCUUUUAAACUUGUGGAAAGUUCCCAUAUCACUUUCACAAAUUGCAGGAGGGAUUGGUUCUGCUUCUCAUGACCACAGAUAUAAGACUGAGAUGUUAGGAAAAAUAUUGCUGCCUAACAAGAAAGGAGAACCCGGACUCUUGUAUGUCAGAGUUUCGCAGAUUUAAUGGGCAUAACUAUUGAUCAUAGUGACUUGCAGGGUACGUACUAGUUAUUGAAAAACAGAAUGUUUGUGAGGAUUAUUUGGCUCCAUUGUCCUGUUACUAUUUUUAUACACAUUUUCAAAACUAUUUUGCCAGGCUUUAUAAUGAAGAAACAAAACAUUGUGGUAAAAGUUGAUUAAUAUUUUGAAUGUCAGUGCUUAGCUCAUUACCCCCAGAGAACACCUUCUCAUUUUUAUGUGAUCAAAUUAAUUGUUAAUGCUCUUGAGGCUUGAGUGCUAAGUACAGGACCACUGAUGGGCUGUAGGUGUAUUUUUAUUCCUUAGUAUAUUAGACCAUUACAAUAGCCUGUAAACUAUGAAGUCAUCUUGUAAGGAGUGUGUGAAAUUUGUCAGACCGGCAUUUUCUGCCUUCACCUACUUGGCACUGAAUGCAUCAACUUCCUUCAAGCAUUUUCAUCGUAUUUCAUUCCUUUUCAUACUCAGAGGUGAUUGAACAACUUGAAGUUGUUCAGAGAUUUUUGUACCCUUUUUUGUUUUGGACAAUUUGACAUUGAUUGUAACAAGGUUGUGAUAAGGCUCCAUUUGUUGCAAGUUCAUCCGAUUGCAUUAUACCAUUUUCCUGCUCAAGUCCUUGUGUAGAUGUUCGCUCAUAUUGCAACGUUGCUGCCGGUGUUGCCAGCAGUGGAGAACCUGUGCAGUGUGGUGGUAACUUUCCAAGUUAACCGGUUUUAACUGUGUUAGUUAUUUGCUGUAAGCUUAUCUCAGCCUUUCAGGAAACUCUCUAGAAUGGUUUGAUGCUUAUUGAAGUUGUCUGUUUUAGCAUUGUCCCAUAAUUUUUCUAGGAAUUCUUCAAGUAGCUGGUCUCACAGAAUAAAUCUUGCAAGAAUAUGUUAUAGUUACUGCAGAUAAGCUGGUUCCCAGUUCUUAAGCAGAAAAGCAUUCCCUGCUUAUAAAAAUUUAUACUAUUUAUACAUCUAUAAAAUUUAUACUGCCUGUCUGAAUCUUGAAAACCAGAUUUUUUCUUUAAAAUAGUAUCUGGCUUCUUGAUAAUGUUUUAAAUAAAACUGGUUGUUCCUGAAGUCAAAUUUCUGUUGGUCAACAGUUGUGAAUCUUCAGCAAGCCAAACCUCUCUCUAGAGUCUUGCACGAAUUCACGUAAGCGAUACCUGUGGUGCAAGCUAGCCACAUCGCCUAGUAACAGGGAGUUCUCUGAGAAAGAAAGGUACAGAUAUUCACAUAAAGACAGGAUUUCAGUUGUACAGCUUGACUGCCAAGCACUUGAAAGAGUUUUUUCUGUUUGAGACAAAAUGUGGGAGGUUUGAAAUAGUCAAAUGGGAUUUGGCUGUACUGCAAGUUCAAAGAACACCAGCGAGUUUCAGUGCUCUGAAAUAGGAAUUGCAAAGAAAGAUAAAGAGACUAGAUAUUUUUAAAUGAGCUGAAGCAAAGGAAAAUUGUGGAAGGGAUAAGGCUUUUU